rnacentral:lncRNA from 1 species
GUCAAGGGGUACUAACCUACAAAUGGCUUUAUUCACAUUAAUCAUGUCUAUCACAGAGUGUUGUAGAAACCUAGUAAAUGAUCACAGAAUUCUUUGUUGUAGUAACAUCACAAGAGAGUUGUUUAGGUGAUUUGAUAAUAUCCAAUCAAAUUGUAGCAUGUCACAUAUGUAGAGAAUUGAUUGUGUGUAUGUAUCUGAAAACCUAUAUAAUAAACAAACCAUGAUACUAUGACAGAGCACUGUGUGAUGCCUGCAUAUGUGGGUUGAAUGCACGGUGUUUCUCAUCUCCUUAUUCUGACCAUGACAUCACAUCUGGGCAGAGGGACCUUGAAUCCUCAGAGGGGCUACUGGACGGACCCCCGUAAAGAGGGAAAUAGGAAGGGAGGUGAUGAGUUAGAGUUUGUCUGGUCUCCCAGGGUGGACCUGGUGAACUAGCUGUUCUCUCUCCUGUGGCUUUCCUUGGGAUCCAUCUUACCAACUACCUGUUCCUGUGUAUCUUGUUGAUGCUGACUGAGAGAUAUUCCUACACAGCUGCUUGAGACACCUAAAGCCAUCUGUCAGGAGACCUUCCCUUUGAGCCCUGUUCCUGCUUACCUUCCAACCUUACUACCUCUAGUACCAUCUAAGGGGGGGGGGGGGGUUGGGUUAGUGAAGUGUAUUUUAUUAUAGGAACUGGGGCUCUUAGGUAGAGAGGUGAUGGGCAGUGCAGAUGCCACCUCUCCGAAGCUACCAACUAGAUUUGGUGGGAGGUUUAUUUAUAUUCUUUAGAUAGAUCAUCCCAAGUCCCUUCCCUUAUCUUAAAUAAACCGUUUAAUAGAAUUUGGUUUCCUGUAAGC